UUCAUUUUUCCCCUCUUCCAGCUUCAGAGACUAUUACAUAUAAAACACCUGCAUGCAUGUGGGUCUCUAGAGCGAAGACCAGCAUUGUUUAAUGAAUAUCUAGAUCUGAGCUGGGAUAACAAAAGAUUCAAACACAACUUAACUUUUGAGAGAAACCAAUUCUUAUAUCCUAAUAAGUUUCAGUUAGAAGCUGAUUUGGAGAAUAUAUUCCUGACCUCAUGCACCAAACAGAAGAUUCUGGGUAAAGUGGAAACAAACUACUUGUCUAGCCUGGACUAUGAUAUGUGCUUUGAAUUCUGUGACCUUCCACAUGUAAUUGUUUUCUCUGGAAAACACCAGCUCAACAAAGAUGACAUCAUUUUGCAGUCAGAGAGCAGGUUGCACCUUGCUGAUCAUGGCAGAGAUGAGGGGUUGAUUGGAAUAUCCUUAAAAAAUC
rnacentral:lncRNA from 14 species